GGAAGGAAGACUAUCAAUCAAUAUUGUAGUAAUUGUUAUUUUAUUAUAGUAUAUUCAAUAUUGUUAUAAACAUGAUGGUGAUGGACAAAAGCAUCUGCCAAAUACCGUACCUCUAAGAGGAAUAUGUCAGGUCUGUGCCCUGUCCUUGUCCUGUUUCUUAGUUUGUGUCCCUUGUGUUGUCACGUGUUCUUUGUUCCUGUGUUUGUUUACCUUUUCUCCUCGUGUCUGACUCCUCACGCCCUGCCCUUGAUUAUCUGGCGUUCUCGUCAUUUCAUGUUACGCGUUUGUUCAUUGUGUUUUUCCCCGUGUUCCUAGCGAUAGUUAAAUAUUUCAUGUUUAUUAAGUUUCUCGUGUUUCCGACCCUGGACUGUACAUCGACUAUUCUCCUGCCUAUGCCCUGUUUUGGAUUUGUUUGCUUGCUCUCGGACUGCCUACCUGUGUACCGAAUCCUGCUAAGUAACACGAUUACCCUUCACUCUACUGCUGCGUUCUGAGUCGUGCAUUUGAGUUCACCCGCAAUUCGUAACAGAAUAUGGAUCAUGUACAAUAUCUAUUCCACUGUGCACUGUCUAUUUGACAGGAUAAGGAUCAUCUCAUCUCAUCUCAUCUCAUCUCAUCCAGAGGCUGACACCAGAACAGAUCCUGCUCUGGUCUGGUGCUAAUCUGCUGGGUCUGAGGUUCUGUUCACUCCUCUGAGGUUCUGUUCAUUCCUCUGAGGUUCUGUUCAUUCCUCUGAGGUUCUGUUCUGCUCAAUGUCAGCUCAUUCCUCUGUCCCAGAGCCUGUGAAGGAGCCCUGUGCUGCUGAUAGUGGGCUGUCUGCUGUCGCUGGGGAGAGCAACGCAAACAAUCACUUUUUUGUCUGCACCCUUCUCUUUUCUUCUCCUCCUCUUCUCUUCUCCUCCGUGAUGCCACUCUGUCUGUUCUUCUCCUCCGUGAUGCCACUCUGUCCAAUCUAAUAUCUCUUCAUCUCCAAGCUCCUCCGUGAUGCCACUCUGUCCAAUCUAAUAUCUCUUCAGCUCCAAGCUCAUGAUUCUAUUCUAUCUGAUGGGCCCAGGUAUUCUUCAGCAUUCCAAAGACACUGAUGUGACGGUACCCACGCGGGGUGGCGUGUCUGUCCUCUCUGAUGUCUUUGGUGAUGUGACGGUACCUGUUGCAGGGGUGACGUGUCUGUCCUCUCUGAUGUCUUUGGCCUGGCCUGUGUGAGAUGUGACCUGUGAAGUGUGACCUCAGAACAGCUAACAGCUAAGCUAACUUGGGGGCGAGGCACACCACGCUGCCCAGGAGGACAGGCCCAGAUGGAGGCAGGUAGUUGCGGCCUCAUGUUCCACUGGGGACGAAGAGGUUUAAGUAAGAAGGGGUCUGAGUGGUGCUGGGGACUGGACAGAGCUGGUCUCCUCUCCAUCACUCUCAUUAGGUCAGCAGUGACAAGAUGCUUGCAGUGGUGGCAGAGUGGAAGACAUGAAGGGUUGCCAAACAGUCAACACAAUGACCUACGUGAACUAAAUGCUUUUCGUCACACAUGGUGAUCUUUGGAGCAGUCCAGCCUUGGAUAGUUGGACUCUAGGCUGGGGGGUGCUGCACAGAGUCAGAGACUAACUGGGCUUGGCUGUGGGCUUUCUAGAACCUUCUGACCGGUCUGAACCGGAUGAGUCUCACUGAGGAAGUCUUUCCCAGGUGAUUGUGCCUGGAGAGAGAGCGUCCAGGAUCUACUCACACAUCUUACAUAAAUAAUUACUCACGUCAGUAGUCAUGUACUCUUUGAAACAUGUGAACACGCAAACACACACACACACACACACACAGGUGAAACAAGAUUGAUGCAUCACCUGCACAAAAUAAUGACAAGAACAUAUGGUGUCAGCUGUGCUGGCAGCGGUUUGACAGAAGCCCAAUUCAAGGCCUCUUACCUGAUUAAAACAGUUUGUUUUAUGGAUGCAUCAGUCAAAGUCCUGCGACACACCGGUGCUGGACCUUAGUGUCAGAACCAGGUAAGUGCUGCAGAAUAAUCCAUCCUGUGUGAAAGACUGAAACAGCAAAACUGCCAUCUCUGACAAAAACAUAUUCAAGCCUGUC
ensembl:lncRNA